rnacentral:ribozyme from 1 species
UGCCAGCAACACCUAUCCCUACCUCCACGCGGUACCGACCGGAAACUAUGAGGGAACCUUAGGGAAGAUCGGGUAACCAACCCCGGUGGGAACUUUGGUCGUAGGCUGACAAGGAAGG